GCUUGCGUGUUUUUCAGCUGUUGUUCUAAUCUUUUCAUUCCUUGGGCUAUUUCUUCCUGUACUCUCGUUCGUGCAUGAUUCUCAGUGUUUGCAGGAAGAUUGAAUGAGUACGAGCGGUGCUCUUGCUGUAUAGCAAAUUGUGACUCAUGACGAGGUUCUCCCUGACCGUUGGCCCAUGCUUGAUGUAUUUCAGUCAUUUUCUGUUUCGGUGUUAUACUUUCC
rnacentral:lncRNA from 1 species